UACGUAAGGUCCGAGCGUUGUCCGGAAUCAUUGGGCGUAAAGGGUACGUAGGCGGUUAGAAAAGUUAGAAGUGAAAUGCUAUAGCUCAACUAUAGUAAGCUUUUAAAACUGUUUAACUUGAGAGAUGGAAGGGAAAGGGGAAUUCCUAGUGUAGCGGUGAAAUGCGUAGAGAUUAGGAGGAAUACCGGUGGCGAAGGCGACUGCCUGGCCAUUAUCUGACGCUGAGGUGCGAAAGCGUGGGUAGCAAACAGG
rnacentral:rRNA from 1 species